AUGGGCUGCCCUCCCUCCCUCCCUCCCUUCCUUUCUCCCUUUUUCCUUCCUUCCUUUCAAUGUAAAGGAAGCCCUUCCCAAUCUGCCUUUAGCCCAUCUGAAUUCCUGGGGCAGAACCUCCAAAGUCCAGACUCCUUUCAGGUCCAAGCCUUCCUAGGCCUCCAAACAGGCUCCCCAGGAGUGGGGGGGCGGGCAGCUAGCUUGUCUAGGGGCGCUGAUGCGGACCCCACCGUCUGCCUGGAGCGGGGACUCCCGGAGCUGCGCCUUGGCCACCCCACUGCGGCUGUGCCAGGGACAGGGAUGCUCUGCAGAGCCAUCCAGCAAAACCAAGGCCCCGUUACCUGCCACCUGGUUCCACAACCUAGAAGCCACCAAGGAAGCGAGGGCAGGUUGCUUGCAGCCAGCAGACAGGCUGGCCGGCCUCUGUUACCAGGGCGGGUAACUCUGAGACCCCCGCCCCGGGAGAGAUCGGGGCGCUGCUGGGGCGCCUGGAAGGGACGGCCGCGGGGCACGCAGCCUCCUGACCCUUCCUUAGGGCUCGGGUUUCGAAUUGUGAGCGCUUUGGGUUUGGCUUGGCGGCUUCUCCGCAGCGUCCACCUGGAUCCAUCACACCUGGAUGCUUUCCCCCCCCCCCCCCCCCGCCCAGGUGUGAUGGAACCGCAAACCCCGGCUUCAGCAGGACGCGCCGACCUGGGGUGGGGGUGGGGGGGUGGGUGCUGCCGCCAGGUCCCGGGAGGGGGGCUCCCGGCGGGGCUCGGCGAGCAGCAGGUGCGGGGGGGCCGGGCCCCAGGUCCGCGUUGCUCGGGUCUGCGCCGCGGAGGGCGCGGUGGGCCCCCCAGAGGGCAGGGCGCGGCUUGGGGGAGGAACCGGGGCGGGACCCCGGCUGGCCCGGCCCGCGCCCCCAGCGCUCGGCCGCGGGGGUGGAGCCGCGCGGGGGCCCAGCGCGUCCCGGCUCCGUCCUCCCGGGGCCCGCCCGGUGGCUCCGCACGGGGGGCGGCCGGUCAGGCGCCGCUGCCCCUCCGCGCCCCGCUUCACGGCGCCCACCUGGAGAGCAGGGGUGCUGUGCAAGGAAGAACCUUGAAUCCCUUCUCACCAGAGGCAUUCCUGCUCCCUGUCGAUGUUGAAAAGGAAAACGCCCACUUCUACGUUGCGGAUAUGAUUAUAGCGGCAAUGGAGAAGAUCAAGUACGCCAUCCUGAGUCAGCAGCACCCAGACCCCUGGGGUGAGGAAGAGGCCAGGGGGGCACCCGGCAGUGGUCACGCUGAUGCUGAGACGACCUUCUAUAGCAACAUGAAGCAAGGAUCUGGGUCUUCCAACUCUUCUGACAGCGGCUAUGAAGGUUGUGCUAUGUUACAGGGCAGCCCGGUGGCUGGGACACCCACUUACGGUGACGUUCUCAAAGAAGCCUGUAAAUGUGACUUUGAUGACUUUGUUGUCGUAGAACUUGGUGAGUUUAGCAAUAUCACAGAAACCUGUGGAUGCUCCUGCAGCUCUUCCAAGAGUAUCGUUUAUGAGCCAGACUUCAAUUCCGCUGAGCUAAUAGCCAAAGAGUUGUACCGAGUAUUCCAGAAGUGCUGGAUGUGGUCAGAAGUUCAUCAUCAGCUGGAAGGUUCUCCCAAUGCCGCUGGCUCCAUAGUUGUAAAUGAAGAACGUGUCCGGAAAGACUUUGAAUCCAGUGUGGAUGUGGUUCAGGAAAUUAAACUUCAGUCGAAGAUCAGAGAGGCUGAAGACUGGGAGCCCCCCCGAUUUCAAAUCAUAUUUGAUGUUCAUCCACCACUCAAGAGGGAUCUCGUGGUAGCAGCCCAGAACUUUCUGUGUGCUGGCUGUGGCACGCCGAUAGAACCCAAGUUUGUGAGGCGCCUGCGGUACUGCGACUACCUGGGCAAGUAUUUCUGUGACUGCUGCCACACCUACGCAGACUCCUGCAUCCCGGCCCGGAUCCUGAGCACGUGGGACUUCAGGAGGUACUACGUCAGCAACUUCUCCAAGCGCCUGCUGGACAGCGUGUGGCACCAGCCCAUUUUCAAUUUGCUGAGCGCAGGCCACAGCCUGUACGCCAAGGCCAAGGAGCUGGACCGAGCCAGGGAAAUCCAGGAGCAACUUUUUCAGAUCAAGAAGCUGUUGAAGACCUGCAGGUUUGCUGAAAGCGCAGUAAAGGCAUUUGAGCAGGUGCCGAGGCACUUGACCGACGAUCUCCACCUGUUCUCUCUGGAGGACCUGGUCAGGGUAAAGAAGAGGCUGCUGGUGCCCUUGCUCAAGGACAUUCUCAAAGCUUCCCUUGCACAUGUGGCCAGCUGUGAGCUGUGUCAAGGAAAGGGCUUCAUCUGCGAAUUUUGCCAGAGUACAGCCGUCAUCUUCCCAUUUCAGACCGAAACGUGUAGACGAUGUGCAGGGUGCAGAGCUUGCUUUCACAAGCAGUGCUUCCAGUCCUCCGAGUGCCCCCGGUGUGCCAGGAUCACAGCCAGGAGAAGACUUCUGGAAAGUUUACCCUCUGCAGCAACAUGAGCCCCUGACCACGGUGGAAAAGACUGUUCAACAUGCCUUAUAACACCGAUUUGUGUCGAUUAUUGACAAUCGUGUUUCAGAUUUUGAGUAUUGUAUAUUAAGAAAAAAUGGUGGCCAAUCUUUUUUAUUAUAUAUAUAUAUAUAUAUUUAAUGUGUUACUAAGAAUGCACAUUUUUUUGUUAUUAAGCAUAGGUUUGUUACUGGUGGUCUUGUUUACAAACGUUCAGUGUUUUUGCUGCUACUGUUUUUUUCUUAAGAAUUUUUUUUUGAUACUUCUUAAAAUUGCCUUUGAGUGGUUGCAUUCAGCUGAUACUGGAGCCUAUUUUUUUAUGAAUUGUUAACUGACAAGGCAAAUUACUCAGUUUGUCUUUCUACAAAGCUAGUUUUAAACGAAUUGGUACUUUCAAUGAACAAAAAUGCGAACAAUGAUCUGUUUACUCCGGGGUUCUUUCCCCCCCCGACUUAAAUGCCACUUUGUAAUUGCAUCCGUGUUUUAGAUCAUACUUAUUCCGGGGUUGGCACAGGGAGUCCCUGUUCCCUCUGCAUCUAUGUCCAGAUGAGUGUGAGCUGCUUAGCGGGGCUGCAGCUGCCGUUCGAAGGUGUCGCCCCUGCGGGCCACUCUCAGGCACACACCGACCCUGUACUUGUCCUCUCCCUUCCACACACUAAAUCAAGGGCUGCAUGGCUGAGUCGAACCUCAUCCCUGCCCUUUAGGAUUUUGUCUCGUGGAUAUAAAACUGAACAUAAGGUAUUGACAAACUUAAACUGUGGGAAAGUCCCGUCAUUGAGCAAUGUGAUUUUAGUAAUGACAAUAAAAUCAUGGACCUCAAUUAAAAAGGUGAGGUA
rnacentral:lncRNA from 1 species